rnacentral:rRNA from 1 species
AUGCAGCAGGGGGAUGGCACCCUGAGGCUGAUGUGCUUCUCAGUGUCGCCGGAGACCACGCGCCACCGCCUCGUGCACGCGGGCUACCCAGCUGGGGCGGCGCACCCCUGGGUCGGCGACGGCUCCAUCACUCACGCCGAUUCCAUGUACUUCAUCGACUGUUCGUCAGGUCUCAUCAGGCUCCGCGUGUCCCCUACCUUCAUCGUACCCACGGGUAUCGAUUUCAUCCCUUUCCCAGAUGAUGGCCAGUACCUCCGCUAUGUUGGCGUCAGCCAGGAUCUGGUGAUGCUCUCGGACAUCGACGCGGAGGGAAGGCUCCGCACCUGGAUGCUCACCACCACAGAGCACGAUCAGCAGCAUUGGGAGCAGUAUGCCCAGGUUCGCUUGCAGGAGAUAGCCUGCAGCAUUCCCCUCAGGCUGCCAUGUCGCAUUGCCUUCCUGCACAGGGAGGCGCACAUCGUCUACCUCAUCUCUGGCGUCACCGAUCGUACCCUGAUGUUACUGGGUGUUGACAUGGAGCAGGGCACCUGUCCAUGGAGUGCAGCCUUCCUGCCGCUGCCGUGUCCCACUUCUUCACAGUGGAGCUCCAGUAGCCCCCCUCGCCCUGGCCCAAGUUACACUAGGAAUUUUGCCUUAAUUCAGAAUGUUCAGUACAUUUGA